rnacentral:rRNA from 1 species
GACGAACGCUGGCGGCGUGCUUAACACAUGCAAGUCGAACGGUAAGGCCCUGCUUUGCUGGGGUGCUUGAGUUGCGAACGGGUGAGUAACGCGUGGGUAACCUGCCUGUUACCGUGGGAUAACUUCAGGAAACUGUGGCUAAUACCGCAUAACAGCUCCUACUGCAUGGUGACGGUUUGAAAGUUGCGGCGGUUGGGGAAGGACGCGCGGCUUCUCAGCUUGUGGGUGGGGUAGUGGAUUAGCAUGGCCUAGGCGGGGAGCCGGACUGAGAGUGUGACAGGCCACAGUGGGACUGAGAUAGCGCCCAGACUCAUUCGGGAGGAAGGAGUGGGGAAUAGUGCAAAAUGGGCGGAAGCCGGAUGCAGCAACGCCGCGUGCGGGAGGACGGCCUUCGGGUUGUAACCCGUUUUCGCCUGUGAAGAAGCGUGAGUGACGGUAAUGUGUAAAGAAGCACCGGCUAACUACGUG